GGCGACCGCAAAAGGCAGGUGCCCAGCCACUAACUUCGGGCUCUGGGCCGAGGGCCGCUCCCCUGAGAAGAGGCCAGUUUGGAGGCCGCGGCAGGCAGCGUUUCCCGCCCUGCUGGUCUCCGGGGUGGCGCUCACUGCGAUCCCAGGAGGGUCGGCUAACAUCUUCCUUUUACAGACCAGGGAUUGAAGCAGGACAGACUGGGAGUUGCCGUUCCUCUCAUUCCUUCCCCAUCAGUCAGGGGUGCCUGAGAGAUGACGUCCACCCAGACGUAAAGCAGAUGGUUUUUCUAUGGGAAGCAAGGCCCGUGAGAACGUUCUUUCCUGGAACUCCCAAAUCAUGGACAUUAGUCAACAGCCAUGCCACAGCCUACCCGGACAUACUAUGUUCAUGUAGAGUCAUGUAUUCAUCUCCAGCUGUAGAAAAGAAUAUAUCAAAGCCCAUGUUUCUACACUGACUACCAGAGUUAUUGUUCUGCCUCAGUGUAGACCAACAGCUUAACUCCACUUCAACCCCUAGCCUGGGGGACGUCCAUAGGCUGCGGGUGCAGCAAGGAAAAAAGGACAAAGAAAUAGCGUCUUGAGAACACUGGCUUGAGAUGGGAAGAAAUCAGGGCUGCAGGGCCGUAGGGGGAGGUGUGUGUCUGCUCCACUACACAGCAGCAGCGACGUAAGCAUCAGAAAUUAGGCAGGAAGGUUACAGAGACACCCUCCCAUCCCCAUUUAAGACUGGAAAUAGGAUGAAGUUGAAGGGAAGGGGUGAGAGCAGAGCUGGGCCCCUUCCAGCCGUCACCACAGGCCUGGGGCUGCACCCCGGCGGGAGGCUGCUCACUGGGACCCCUGGGUUCUGACCAACAGGAGGGCAGCCCAGCCUGCCCCUAACUCCACAGGGCCAGUGGGCGCUGUCCAGCGGGGCCUCCACUGGGGGCUGCCACCUGGCUGGAGGAAACAGGGCGAGCUCUCAAAACUGUAAGUGCUCCCUCUCGAGCCCACCAGAGGCUUCCUAGGGUUUCAUGGUCUCCCUCGCAGGCCUCUCUGCUGUGUUUGCUAUCAUGACAGGGCCACUUACCAUUGCCCGCCAUGGUCCUUCGGGAGUUAAUGCCAGACAGCUGCCUCGGAGACACUGGCUCUCUGCUGAUGGAGCCAGGCUGGGGGGAGCCUGUCCCUGUGGGAAUGUAUAAAGGCCACCCAGGGGGACCAGCCAUCCUGCCUCAGAGUCCCCCUGAGGAGGAGCCAGCUGUCUGCUCCCUCCCUGAGUUGCGCAGUAGACCCAAGUCCACGUCCGGGUUGUGAUAACUAUUCAGCCGGCCAGCAAGGCUUUUGAAGCAAAACGGUCUAACUGGAGUUGGAGAAGGACAGCAUCCAGAAACACCAGUUCCGUAGGGGGUGAGCUGCAAGGAACAAGCAAGAAGCUCAUACACUAUGCAUCGCCAGGAGUUCCCAUCGUGGCACAGCGGAAAUGAAUCUGACUAGGAACCAUGAGGUUUCAGGUUCGAUCCCUGGCCUCAAUCAGCAGGUUAAGGAUCUGGCGUUGCCAUGAGUUGUGGUGAAGGUUGCAGACGCGGCUCGGAUCUGGUGGUGGUGUAGGCCAGCAGCUGUAGCUCCGAUUAGACCCCUAGCCUGGGAACCUCCAUAUGCCAUGGGUGUGGCCCUAAAGAGACCAAAAAAAAAAAAAAAAAAAAAAAACAUCGCCAAAGAGGGUCACUGGGCCCUGAGCAUGUGCUCUCAACACCCCCACUCCACCCUUCUGCACAGCAUUGAAAGCUUCCUGGAGGAGAAGGCCCCUUACAGAGGCCUGAGGGGAGGGAAGUCUGUCUAAGCAAAACAUGGACAAAAUGUAUCUGCUGCAAAUUACAAGAAGCUGAUGAAAGAUCAAAGAAGAACUAACUAAAUGGAGACAUGUUAUCAUGUUCACGGACUGGAGGAUUCAACUUUUCCCCAAAUUAAUUUAAAGGUUUAAUGCAAUUCCUAUCAAAAUUCAAAAAAGAAUGUUGGCAGAAACAGGUAAGCUUAUUCUGAAAUUUAUACUGACAAGAGAGCAGGAGGUCUGGCUUGCGAGUGGCCACUUCUCUGUUGCGUGUGGGGAAAGAAUAAAUUUAAAGUGGGUGAUGUUGAGAAGGGCAAGAAGAUUCUUGUUGGGAAGUGUCCUCAGUGCUGUACCGUGGAGGAGGAAGGCAAGCACAAGACUGGCUCCAACCUCCAUGGUCUGGUUGGACUGAAGACGGGCCAGCCUCCUUGGAUUCACUCACCCGAGGAGAGGAGACGCUGGCGGAGACGUGGACAAUCCCGCAAAGGACCUCCCUGGAACAAAAAUGCUCUUUGCUGCCCUUAGGAAGCGGGGAGAAGGGAAGACGUGGUAGCUUAUCUCAAGAAAGCUCCUGAUGAGAACAGAGUGCCGUCGUGGCUCAGUGGUCACGAACCCAACUGGUAUCCAUGAGCAUGUGGGUUCAAGUCUUGGCCUUGCUCAGUGGGUUAAGGAACUGGCAUUGCCGGGAGCUGUGGUGUAGGUCGCAGACACAGCUCGGAUCUGGCGUUGCUGUGGCUGUGGUGUAGGCCGGCAGCUACAGCUCUGAAUAGACCCCUUGCCUGGGUAUGGCCCUCAAGAAAAGACAAAACAAAACCCUGUAGGCGAUUGGUUUUAUAUAUAGAUUUCUAGAACUCGUUUUAUUAAUAUGUUUAAAUACUGAGAAGAUCCCUUUACGGUCUCAGAACAGAGCAAGAUUCACCUGCGUUUCAAGCUCUGUUCACUAACCUGUUAAGGCAAGAGUGGAGGAUAAAUUGACACCGUCCCCUGUAUCUUUUUGGUCUUAAUGAUGCUAAUUUCAUUAAAAGUUCUCUGUGUCUAAA
rnacentral:lncRNA from 1 species